GGUUACGUCAAGAACACUCGCUAUUAACGAAUGCCUUUUCUUCUCGACUGAAAGUGCUUUACAACCCGCAGGCCUUCUUCACACACGGCGACAUUGCUGGGUCAGGCUUGCGCCCAUUGCCCAAUAUUCCCUA
rnacentral:rRNA from 1 species